UAGAUGCCUUUCCUUUCCUAUGCCCACAAAUCAUGCACAAAUCAUGGAUUGGCUUGACCGUGGGCCUCCAACCUUCAUCCUCUAGCUCCUACAUCUCUGGUGGAACCGGAGCUCGCGGGCGGCGGAACCCCUGCGUAUAGAGACGGUCCAACUGAGCCAUUCACCCCUCACAGCCCCAGGACAAGGCGACACCCUUCCUGCUUUGCUACUUCGCGACCUCUCUCAAAUUUUAUUCAUCAUAAAUAUAUCCUCUUUUGUAGAGCAACCAUGUCCAGAUGUAAAUGAGCACCACUAGCUAAUCCUGAUUUUAUAUGUAGAUGAAUUUGCGUUGGAAAUGUCAGUACUUAACGGUGUUGCCAUACUAGCCUUGCAAACAUCAGUUUCCGCUGUCGCCCAGGCCGUUUCCCCUGUAUCCGCUAUCCUUAAUCCCUGUUGUUUCUUUUCUUUUGUUGCUUCUUAGUAUUGUCUUUUUUGAACAGCAUGAAUUGGUCACCAGAGAGGAGCAGACUAUUAUGUGGUUAACGGGGGCGUGCGGAUUUGUAGGUCCAAUGAGAGUAAGGAGGGCAUGCGCGACCCAUUUGGCAGCCAGGCCGACUAGCAGGAACCGCCGUCCACGAGAAUGGUGAGAUACUGAUUUUGGAACAUGUGUCUGUGGAUGAUCCAACAAUUCAGGCUGAUUUGAUAUCUUGCAAUGCUAUUGUUGAUCAGGGAUAUCCAGGUUCUUCUACAAAUGCUAAUUUGGUUUUGAAUCAUCUGUCCUCAACUCCUAAUGCACUAUGAAGAUCUUUGCAUGAACUGAUCAUAUCUGUCCUCAGCUCCUAAUGCACUAUGAAAUGCUACUUAGGUUAGCUAAAUAAUUACUCCCCUUCAGUAGUUUUGGAAAACAGAAUGAUUUUCGAUAGAAGUAAACAGGUUGGUUGUUGGACAUACAACUGAAGACCACGCUAAUAUUUAUGCAGAUAUUUCCUGUUUCACAGAUUUCUGUUCACUUUAUUUUAGGUUGUGUUUAUAUGAAAGGAAACUCAGUUCUGUUUAAUGUGGAUGUGAGAUGUUCUUAGCUAUAGUGUAAUAUAAAAAGUAGCUCAGCUACGUUACAUCAACUGUUUAUUUGGUGAACAUGUUUACCGAUAACCACUAAAAUUUUCUUCCAUAUGUAUCUAUACUUUUAUCAUAUUUUCUAUUUGCACAAUGAUUUUUUGGGUUGUUAGUGCAAAUGAGGUCAACUAUCUUUUGCUUGCUGCAAACCUUUCCUACGGGAAUCUUAGCUGAGGAAUCAUUUAGUUGACAGUGUUGUGAAUCUGUUUAGUUGAUAGCCUAAGGUACUACUUGGCCAGAGAAGAAAAAUUCCCAUCUUAUUGAAUGACUCCCCAGCUAUAUGAAUCAUUUUUGCCAGUACGUAGACUAUUUUGUAAAAUUCAAGUAGUCAGUUAUCUCAAGAUUAAUAUUCUAUUGCUUCCUGCAUUUUUUUUCUUAGGGUAGAUAGAUAUAUUCUUUGCAUAGAAUCUCCAAUUUACGUUCAUAUGGAUCAAAGCAAUAAUACUUUUGCCAAAAAAAUAUAAUACUUACAUUUUGGAAAAAGUUGUUUGUUACUUCGAUUUCUCACAGGAUUCCUUCACAAAACAUAUCUAGCAAUUCUGGUCACCCAAGGAUGUCAGCUCCAUGUCUGGAAAAAAGAGAAGGCAAAAACACCUACUACUACACCAACCAAGAAGCAUAUCAGCAGGAGCCAAGAUCCGCCCACAGAGAUGGAGAAACUUAGCUUAAGAAUCUAAGACAAAAUGGGAGUGGAGCUGCUGAAACAAAGAUUGAGCACACUGUUGCAAAUCAGAUACCUGCACACUGGUGCCAACCAGUUAUGUAUAUAUCACGGACC